AACGAACGCUGGCGGCAUGCCUAACACAUGCAAGUCGAACGCUUAUCCGGGCUUUGGUUCGGAUGGGAGUGGCGCACGGGUGAGUAGCGCGUGGGAACCUGCCCUGUUGUGGGGGAUAACCGAGGGAAACUUCGGCUAAUACCGCAUGCGCCCGGAGGAGACUCCGGGGAAAGUAUUUAUCGCUGAAGGAUCGGCCCGCGUCGGAUUAGCUAGUUGGUGGGGUAAAGGCCUACCAAGGCGACGAUCCGUAGCUGGUCUGAGAGGAUGAUCAGCCACACUGGGACUGAGACACGGCCCAGACUCCUACGGGAGGCAGCAGGUGGGGAAUAUUGGACAAUGGGCGCAAGCCUGAUCCAGCCAUGCCGCGUGAGU
rnacentral:rRNA from 1 species